UUAAACUGUGAAAUCAUUUAUGUAACUAUGUCAAUAUAAUAUAGUAUAAUCAAAGAUGUCGUUAAUGUAAUCAUAUAGUAGCCAUUACUGUGGAAGAUUAGCUACUACUUUAAGGUUAUUAAUCAUCAGACACCUAUGUAAAUGCUAUAAAAGUAAAACAAAAAAAACAAACAUGUGGGGACCCAAUCAAAUCCGUGCAAAAAUCAACUACCAUCUUCCGACGAACAAAUCAACCAAAUCUAAAAUAUAUAUUUCAAAAAAAUAUAAACUAAUUAAAGAAGGCAAAACAUUUAAUCAAGUAAAAUCCUAUUUAUUUACAAUCCAAAAAAUAUUCUUUCACCCACCUAAAUCUUUUAUAUUCAU
rnacentral:lncRNA from 1 species